UAACUGUGUUAACCAGUUUUCAAGCGAGCCGUCUGUCUGUUUAAAUACUACGAGACAAAAAUCGAAAUAGGUCUGGGUGUUCUGCGUAUUUGGGAUUCAUUAGUUUGAUACCAGGCAUCCUGGACAUAAGCCUCCCCUUGGCACGCCA